UACAGAGGUCUCAAGCGUUGUUCGGAUUCAUUGGGCGUAAAGGGUGUGUAGGUGGCGCGCUAAGUCGGGUGUGAAAUUUCGGAGCUUAACUCCGAAACUGCAUUCGAUACUGGCGUGCUUGAGGACUGGAGAGGAGACUGGAAUUCAUGGUGUAGCAGUGAAAUGCGUAGAGAUCGGCAGGAACACCAGUGGCGAAGGCGGCCACCUAGCCCGCACCUGACGCUGAGGCGCGACAGCGUGGGGAGCGAACUGG
rnacentral:rRNA from 1 species